rnacentral:rRNA from 1 species
UACGAAGGGGGCUAGCGUUGUUCGGAAUUACUGGGCGUAAAGCGCACGUAGGCGGCUUUGCAAGUUAGAGGUGAAAGCCCAGGGCUUAACCCUGGAAUUGCCUUUAAGACUGCAUCGCUAGAAUCGUGGAGAGUGAGUGGAAUUCCGAGUGUAGAGGUGAAAUUCGUAGAUAUUCGGAAGAACACCAGUGGCGAAGGCGACUCACUGGACACGUAUUGACGCUGAGGUGCGAAAGCGUGGGAGCAACAGGA